UGGGGACAUAGUUUGCUAAAUUGUGCUUUUCUAUUUGGCCAAACUGCAACUAAAGAAGACAAAGGCUACUGUAGCUGCUGCUUCAGGGAAAGGCAAUCGCUGGCUUUACCUAAUUUAAAUUUUUAAGGGUUUUGACGUUAAAAAUCUUCCAGUGCCUUUUCUACUUUUACAGUUGCUCAGGAGUUGGGAGCCCAGAAGAAGGGAACCCCCUGGUGUUUUCUACUUUGCGGAGCUCUCCAGAAGACUGACUGCAGAAUGGCCACAAUCAGGUCAACUCAUCAACUGGGGAACAUAGUGCUGGCUUUGGCAUUUCGAGGGGGUUAGAAAGAUACCGCAAAGAUCUAGAAUGGCAGUGAGCUCUUAAAGUGGUUGUGAAGAUACAAGAAAUUGCCAGAUAGUUCGCACAGCGCUUCAGAUAAGUCUCUCAGUGGAUAGAAGAUGAGAAUGUAGUACCAAGAGAUGCAUGACACUUCAGCAGAAGAAGGCAGACAGAUAUGAGAUGCCGCUGGUAAGCCAAGGUCUUUCUCUCACAGUCUCUGUCCACUAUGUCAACCAUAUUCUGUCCUGACAGGGGAGGCGUCACUCUUAGACUCUUAGUCUUAUGUAACC